rnacentral:ncRNA from 1 species
AUAUAAGAAGCGCCAGGACCUUUUGGUUGACGAGGAGUGGAGUUAUCGAAAAAUUCGGCGGAUGCUCCACAGGUAUUACAGCCUUAGUAAUGUACAAAUAUUUCUAGUAAUAGGAUAACAAAAUCAUU